GAUGAACGCUGACAGAAUGCUUAACACAUGCAAGUCAACUUGGUGGCGGACGGGUGUGUAACGCGUACAGAUCUUGCCUCCCAGUUAGGGACACCCUUUGGAAACGAAUGCUAAUACCUGAUCCUGUGAGAGAGCUUUGCGUCCCAUUAGCUAUAUGGAGAGGUGACGGCUCACCAAGGCGAUGAUGGGUAGCCGGCCUGCGAGGGGGAUCGGCCACAAGGGGACUGAGGCACGGCCCUUACGCCGAGGCGAGGCAGCAGUAAGGAACAUUAGGCAAUGGAUGCAAGCUGAACCAGCCGAGUAGCGUGCAGAAUGAUGCCCUAUGGGUUGUAAACUGCUUUGAUGUGAGAUUGCGUUCCAUGAAGAAGGACCGGCUAAUUCCGUGCCAGCAGCCGCGGUAAUUC
rnacentral:rRNA from 1 species